rnacentral:rRNA from 1 species
UACAGAGGCCCAAACAUCAUUCGGAAUUACUGGGCUUAAAGAGUUCGUAGGCGGCGUGGAAAGUAGGGUGUGAAAUCCCUCGGCUCAACCGAGGAAUUGCGCUCUAAACUACCAUGCUAGAGGAAGCUAGAGGUGAGCGGAACUGAUGGUGGAGCGGUGAAAUGCGUUGAUAUCAUCAGGAACACCGGAGGCGAAGGCGGCUCACUGGGGCUUUUCUGACGCUGAGGAACGAAAGCCAGGGUAGCGAACGGG